rnacentral:rRNA from 1 species
GGCACGCCUAACACAUGCAAGUCGAACGCAGUAGCAAUACUGAGUGGCAAACGGGUGAGUAUAAUGUGGGAAUCUGCCUUUUGGUUUGGAAUAACACGGGGAAACUUGUGCUAAUACCGAAUAAGCCCUUACGGGGAAAGUUUUAACGCCGAAAGAUGAGCCCGCACUUGAUUAGCUAGUUGGUAAGGUAAAAGCUUACCAAGGCAACGAUCAAUAGCUGUUCUUAGAGGAAGACCAGCCACAUUGGGACUGAGACACGGCCCAGACUCCUACGGGAGGCGGCAGUGGGGAAUCUUGCACAAUGGGGGAAACCCUGAUGCAGCGAUGCCGCGUGAGUGAAGAAGGCCCUUGGGUUGUAAAACUCUUUCGUCGGGGAAGAAAAUGACUGUACCCGAAUAAGAAGGUCCGGCUAACUUCGUGCCAGCAGCCGCGGUAAUACGAAGGGACCUAGCGUAGUUCGGAAUUACUGGGCUUAAAGAGCUCGUAGGUGGUUAAAAAAGUUGAUGGUGAAAUCCCAAGGCUCAACCUUGGAACUGCCAUCAAAACUUUUUAGCUAGAGUGUGAUAGAGGUAAGUGGAAUUUCUAGUGUAGAGGUGAAAUUCGUAGAUAUUAGAAAGAACACCAAAUGCGAAGGCAACUUACUGGGUCACUACUGACACUGAGGAGCGAAAGCAUGGGUAGCGAAGAGGAUUAGAUACCCUCGUAGUCCAUGCCG